rnacentral:rRNA from 1 species
CCCGGGAGGGUGUGGGAGAGUAGGUCACCGCCGGAA